rnacentral:rRNA from 1 species
UUAAGCGACUAAGCGUACACGGUGGAUGCCCUGGCAGUCAGAGGCGAUGAAGGACGUGCUAAUCUGCGAAAAGCGUCGGUAAGGUGAUAUGAACCGUUAUAGCCGGCGAUGUCCGAAUGGGGAAACCCAGUGUGAUUCGUCACACUAUCGUUAACUGAAUACAUAGGUUAACGAGGCGAACCGGGGGAACUGAAACAUCUAAGUACCCCGAGGAAAAGAAAUCAACCGAGAUUCCCCCAGUAGCGGCGAGCGAACGGGGAGCAGCCCAGAGUCUGAAUCAGCUUGUGUGUUAGUGGAACGGUCUGGAAAGUCCGACGGUACAGGGUGAUAGUCCCGUACACCAAAAUGCACAGGCUGUGAACUCGAAGAGUAGGGCGGGACACGUGGUAUCCUGUCUGAAUAUGGGGGACCAUCCUCCAAGGCUAAAUACUCCUGACUGACCGAUAGUGAACCAGUACCGUGAGGGAAAGGCGAAAAGAACCCCGGCGAGGGGAGUGAAAAAGAACCUGAAACCGUGUACGUACAAGCAGUGGGAGCACCUUUAUGGUGUGACUGCGUACCUUUUGUAUAAUGGGUCAGCGACUUAUAUUCUGUAGCAAGGUUAACCGUAUAGGGGAGCCGCAGGGAAACCGAGUCUUAACUGGGCGUUAAGUUGCAGGGUAUAGACCCGAAACCCGGUGAUCUAGCCAUGGGCAGGUUGAAGGUUGGGUAACACUAACUGGAGGACCGAACCGACUAAUGUUGAAAAAUUAGCGGAUGACUUGUGGCUGGGGGUGAAAGGCCAAUCAAACCGGGAGAUAGCUGGUUCUCCCCGAAAGCUAUUUAGGUAGCGCCUCGUGAACUCAUCUUCGGGGGUAGAGCACUGUUUCGGCUAGGGGGUCAUCCCGACUUACCAACCCGAUGCAAACUACGAAUACCGAAGAAUGUUAUCACGGGAGACACACGGCGGGUGCUAACGUCCGUCGUGAAGAGGGAAACAACCCAGACCGCCAGCUAAGGUCCCAAAGUCAUGGUUAAGUGGGAAACGAUGUGGGAAGGCACAGACAGCCAGGAUGUUGGCUUAGAAGCAGCCAUCAUUUAAAGAAAGCGUAAUAGCUCACUGGUCGAGUCGGCCUGCGCGGAAGAUGUAACGGGGCUAAACCAUGCACCGAAGCUGCGGCAGCGACACGAUGUGUUGUUGGGUAGGGGAGCGUUCUGUAAGCCUGCGAAGGUGACCUGUGAGGGUUGCUGGAGGUAUCAGAAGUGCGAAUGCUGACAUAAGUAACGAUAAAGCGGGUGAAAAGCCCGCUCGCCGGAAGACCAAGGGUUCCUGUCCAACGUUAAUCGGGGCAGGGUGAGUCGACCCCUAAGGCGAGGCCGAAAGGCGUAGUCGAUGGGAAACAGGUUAAUAUUCCUGUACUUGGUGUUACUGCGAAGGGGGGACGGAGAAGGCUAUGUUAGCCGGGCGACGGUUGUCCCGGUUUAAGCAUGUAGGCUGGUUAUCCAGGCAAAUCCGGAUAAUCAAGGCUGAGGUGUGAUGACGAGGCACUACGGUGCUGAAGUAACAAAUGCCCUGCUUCCAGGAAAAGCCUCUAAGCAUCAGGUAACAUCAAAUCGUACCCCAAACCGACACAGGUGGUCAGGUAGAGAAUACCAAGGCGCUUGAGAGAACUCGGGUGAAGGAACUAGGCAAAAUGGUGCCGUAACUUCGGGAGAAGGCACGCUGGUGUGUAGGUGAAGUCCCUGCGGAUGGAGCUGAGACCAGUCGAAGAUACCAGCUGGCUGCAACUGUUUAUUAAAAACACAGCACUGUGCAAACACGAAAGUGGACGUAUACGGUGUGACGCCUGCCCGGUGCCGGAAGGUUAAUUGAUGGGGUUAUCCGUAAGGAGAAGCUCUUGAUCGAAGCCCCGGUAAACGGCGGCCGUAACUAUAACGGUCCUAAGGUAGCGAAAUUCCUUGUCGGGUAAGUUCCGACCUGCACGAAUGGCGUAAUGAUGGCCAGGCUGUCUCCACCCGAGACUCAGUGAAAUUGAACUCGCUGUGAAGAUGCAGUGUACCCGCGGCAAGACGGAAAGACCCCGUGAACCUUUACUAUAGCUUGACACUGAACAUUGAGCCUUGAUGUGUAGGAUAGGUGGGAGGCUUUGAAGCGUGGACGCCAGUCUGCGUGGAGCCAACCUUGAAAUACCACCCUUUAAUGUUUGAUGUUCUAACGUUGGCCCCUUAUCGGGGUUGCGGACAGUGUCUGGUGGGUAGUUUGACUGGGGCGGUCUCCUCCCAAAGCGUAACGGAGGAGCACGAAGGUUAGCUAAUCCUGGUCGGACAUCAGGAGGUUAGUGCAAUGGCAUAAGCUAGCUUGACUGCGAGCGUGACGGCGCGAGCAGGUGCGAAAGCAGGUCAUAGUGAUCCGGUGGUUCUGAAUGGAAGGGCCAUCGCUCAACGGAUAAAAGGUACUCCGGGGAUAACAGGCUGAUACCGCCCAAGAGUUCAUAUCGACGGCGGUGUUUGGCACCUCGAUGUCGGCUCAUCACAUCCUGGGGCUGAAGUAGGUCCCAAGGGUAUGGCUGUUCGCCAUUUAAAGUGGUACGCGAGCUGGGUUUAGAACGUCGUGAGACAGUUCGGUCCCUAUCUGCCGUGGGCGCUGGAGAAUUGAGGGGGGCUGCUCCUAGUACGAGAGGACCGGAGUGGACGCAUCACUGGUGUUCGGGUUGUCAUGCCAAUGGCACUGCCCGGUAGCUAAAUGCGGAAGAGAUAAGUGCUGAAAGCAUCUAAGCACGAAACUUGCCCCGAGAUGAGUUCUCCCUGAGACUUUAAGUCUCCUGAAGGAACGUUAAAGACGAUGACGUUGAUAGGCCGGGUGUGUAAGCGCAGCGAUGCGUUGAGCUAACCGGUACUAAUGAACCGUGAGGCUUAACCUU